rnacentral:misc_RNA from 1 species
GUAUAAGUUUUUUUAUCAACGCUUUUUUAAGGCGAGGACAUCAAUUUACAUUCUAUUACACAUGGGGGUUGGUGAUAAGACGUAGGGGCCUUUUUUACCGGGCCCUUACAUUAGGUUCACAGGUGUAUGUUGGAUUAAAGGCUCGGGCGUGCACAUGCCCCGAAAGGCCAGCUACAACCCUCGCCGGUAAUUUCAAUAAUGAUCCUUCCGCAGGUUCACCUACGGAAA